rnacentral:lncRNA from 1 species
CACAGUACCAAGCAAAAUAAUGCAAAUCAAAACAACAGCAACAACGGAGCGCUUUCUUCUGCUGCUCCUUUGUGAAAAGGACUCAUUUCUACCCUCGUUUUCUGCUCUACGUCAUACCCGAGUGAAGUUUUUUGGAUGUGAAUAGGGCUUAAAAUAAAGGCAGCGUUCGGAUUACAACAUUAUAAUGUUAAUUCAGCUCUGCAGCGAAGAUAAGCCCUGGGUGCCAAAAUGUUGCUGCAUUUCUAUGUACCAGUGCUAGCUGUGCUGUGGAUAGCAAGUUUCAUUUAGUAAUGCGGUGUUCGUACUGAGAGAAAAAAAACAGAGAUGUCAGUACUAGUAGGGACUCACAUUCGUUGUCAUAUGCUUAGCGAGGGCCAUAACCCACAGCCUGGGCUGUUGUUUCCAUUGUGGAGUCCAGCUUUACUCUUGUGCAAGUCUUUCUCUUCAGUGCUAAUGAUUUAAUCGCCCGUUCAUUGCUCAGGAAGGCCGUGUUCCUGGAGGCAAAGAAGAGAAAAAAGCGUCAGUUGAUGUUGCAGAAGAUGGAGCCAUGGUCUGUGUUAGGUCCAUUUCACCUGGUGCUGCAGACGUGCUUUAAAUGUCUCUCGAUCUACAACUUUAAUAAGCCUCCUGGGCCUUUCUUUGGAAAUUUCAUCUGCGACUCUAAAUAAACCCGCUUGUAUCUCUGAUGCUUCCAUUUGGAUUAAAAAGCCAAAUGAUCUUGUUUUAAGUUUCGUACGGAGAACGUUUGAAGGUACAUGGAGAUGGAUAACCAACACUGGACCUGGGCUCCAACUUAGCACACAGAAAAAUAAACACAUUUUUAAGCUUUUUUUUUUCCUGCUUUCUUUAACAAAUUGUUCUGAGCCUGUUGUAGUGCUUAAAUUCAUUCCCGUGUUUACUGAAUAAAAAAGGAUUUCUG